AAAUAAAAUUAAACUAAGUUUUAACAUAUUUAUAGGUUAUGUAUAAAAACAUUCCUAAAUUUAGUAAAGGUGAUUAAAAUUUAAUAUUUGUUUUAAGAUAAGUACUGAGAAGGAAUGAAAUUAAUUAGGUGAUAAAAAAGAUUAAUACUUGUACCUUUUGUAUCAUGGUUUAGCUAGAUUUAAAUUCUAAUUAUAAUUUCUCGAAAUCUAACGAGCUAUUUUUAACUCUUAUUUUAGUAAAGACAUUAGAUGAAGGUAGUUGUGGCAAAAACUUCUAAAUAGUUAAAAAUAGAAAUGAAAUUUUAUCCGAGUUAGAUGAUAGCUAGUUCUUUCAAAAAAGCAUUUAAGUGCUGUUGAUUAGAUUUUAGAGAGAAGUGAUUCGUAAAUAGAUUCUAAUCAGGUUAAAUUAUUGAGGAUAAGCUCAGUAAUUAAAUAAAUAAUUGGCACUCAAUUUUUCAUUAAAUUUAAGCUUGAAAAUAGCUAUAAUUUUAUGAUUUUGUUAUAAUAUUAUAUAUUCUUAAAAAAUAUAAUUAAUUUGCUUAAGAGAAUGAAAGAGAUCUUAUAAAUUUUAUAUAAGAUACAUCAAUGCUAAAAUGAGUAUUUAAUAAAAUAUAUGAUUUUAAUAUUAUUUUGUAUAGAUAAUAAAUAAGUAUAUGAUUCCAAAAUGAAAUUACAUGAAGGAACUCGGCAAAUCCAAUAUUCUGCCUGUUUAUCAAAAACAUGGCUCCUUGAAUUUGAUAUAUAAGGAGUCGGACCUGCCCAGUGAAAUAUUUUAAACGGCCGCGGUACUCUGACCGUGCAAAGGUAGCAUAAUCAUUUGCCCUAUAAUUGAGGGCUAGUAUGAAUGGUUUGACAAGAAUAAAGCUGUCUCCAUGUAAUUAUAUAGAAUUUUAUUUUUAGGUGAAGAAGCCUAAAUUUUAUUAAAAGACAAGAAGACCCUAUCGAGCUUUAAAGAAGUUAAUAGAGUAAUGAUAAAUAUUAACUAAAAUAGAUUUUAUUAAGAAUUUUGGUUGGGGCGACAAAGGAACAAUUAAAGCUUCUUUUAAGAUAAAGAAACCUACAAGUAUUGAUCCAGAAUAAUUCUGAUUAAAGAAAUUAGUUACCGUAGGGAUAACAGCAUUAUCUUUUUUGAGAGCUCAUAUCGAAAAAAAGGUUUGUGACCUCGAUGUUGGACCAGGAUACCCAGAAGAUGUAGAAGUCUUCAAAGGUUGGUCUGUUCGACSAUUAAARUCCUACGUGAUCUGAGUUCAGACCGGCGUGAGCCAGGUCAGUUUCUAUCUUUUAUUAGUAAAGUAAGUUUAGUACGAAAGGACCAACUUAUAGUAUUAUUAUAAUAUUAGCUUAUAGAUCAAAUAUAAUGUAAAAAUAAAUAAAGUUUAGUAAUCAACUGUUA
rnacentral:rRNA from 1 species